rnacentral:misc_RNA from 1 species
GAUUUUAUCAAGCCGCCGCCCCCUACUCUGUUUUAUCUGCGCGCGGUCUUCUUCCUUUAUCUCCCAGCCGCCGCUCCCACCUGGUUCUCAUUGCCCAGCACCAGGAACGCAUAGCCUCCUCUCCUCUUCAGCCAUGGCUGCUGGUCUCCAUGGGGCUGAGCUCCAUCAGCCGCUGCUCCUGAACGCCGGCACCAGCCCCAUCUCUGCUCUUCUCUCUCGCGUCUCUGCAGCCCGCCCAGCCGAGUCGGUCCCUGUCUCCCAUGGCGACGCGCCCCAAGUUCUGGGGCCGCUCAGUCUCCAGGCCCGCGCGCGCAGUUGAGCUCUGUCCUCUGCUCGGUCGGAUCUCCCUGAUGUCGCGCACCCAUCUUCCUCUUCUGUGCGGCGCCCCUCUCCGUGGCUCGUCUCCGCAGCUCCAGCUCGGAUUGGUCCAUGCCACGCGUGCGUGUCUCCCUCUGCGCGGAUCUCGCCCAGCGCUCGCCAUGGUCGCCAUGACGACUUCCCUGGCGCGCCCGCCUGUCCGCGUUCUGCGUCCAGUUUCCUGCGCGACGGCUGUCGGCCAUCUCCAGCUCUUCCAUGGCGCGCCCAAAGCUUCUUUAUUGGCUGCGCGCCGCUCCCUGUUUUUCUGGUAGCCGUGCGCGCGAAACUGCUCCGGUCGUCGACCCACUAUGGUCGCAGCCCAUCUCCUGUGCGCCGUCCGCCACCUCGCCCUUGGUGCUCGCCGGGUCAAGCCCCAUGUUGUUGUGUCCCCAUGUUGUUGUGUCCCUGAUUCAGUUUGCCGU